UUCCAGGCUAUCACCCUGAAUAUGCCCAAUCUCAUCUGAUCUCGGAAGCUAAGCAGAGUCAGGCCUGGUUAGUACUUGGAUGGGAGAAUAGGGAAUUCCUAGCCAUCUUGUCU
rfam:Canis lupus familiaris chromosome 3, whole genome shotgun sequence.